rnacentral:rRNA from 1 species
UCUUUUUGUUUUUAUUUAAAGUCAGACCUGCCCAAUGAAUUUUAAAUGGCCGCAGUACUUUAACUGUGCAAAGGUAGCAUAAUCAUUUGUUUUUUAAUUGGAAACUUGUAUGAAUGGUCAUACGAAAGGCUAACUUUCUUUAUCUUAUAUUAAAUAAGUUUAUUUUUCUGUGAAAAAGCAGAGAUAUUUUUAUAAGACGAUAAGACCCUUUAAAACUUUAUUUACUAUGUGAGUAUUAAUUUUUAGAUUUUUAUUUUUUACUUUUUAUAGUAAAUUUUAUUGGGGCGAUAGGUAAAUUUAAUUAACUUUACUUUUUCAUUUCAUUAAUUAAUGUUUUUAUGAUCCAGGUAUUAUGCUGAUUACAAGUUUAAGUUACUUAA